rnacentral:rRNA from 1 species
GACGAACGCUGGCGGCGUGCUUAACACAUGCAAGUCGAACGGAAAGGCCCUGCUUUUGUGGGGUGCUCGAGUGGCGAACGGGUGAGUAACACGUGAGUAACCUGCCCUUGACUUUGGGAUAACUUCAGGAAACUGGGGCUGAUACCGGAUAGGAGCUCCUGCUGCAUGGUGGGGGUUGGAAAGUUUCGGCGGUUGGGGAUGGACUCGCGGCUUAUCAGCUUGUUGGUGGGGUAAUGGCUUACCAAGGCUUUGACGGGUAGCCGGCCUGAGAGGGUGACCGGCCACAUUGGGACUGAGAUACGGCCCAGACUCCUACGGGAGGCAGCAGUGGGGAAUAUUGCACAAUGGGCGGAAGCCUGAUGCAGCAACGCCGCGUGCGGGAUGACGGCCUUCGGGUUGUAAACCGCUUUCGCCUGUGACGAAGCGUGAGUGACGGUAAUGGGUAAAGAAGCACCGGCUAACUACGUG